GGGGAUGAUCGGCUUCGAUGGGAUUUCUUUUAAAAUUUGCGCAAGUAGUGUAUGGGCGAUAAUCACUUAAAACUUUUCACCCAAAUCAUAAUUGCCAACUACAAUAGCAAUUACGCUUUAGCUUACGCUUAAGGCGCGUCCUCUCGGCGAUUUCUGCUAGCCGAAUCAGGGCGUCAUUAGCGGGAUAAGGUUUUGCCGUCUUUUAAAUGUUUUAGCGGCAGGGCACGAAAAAUACAAAACAGGUCUUCGGUUAUUUUGUCGGGUUCUUAACCGAAGUCUGGGAGGCCCACCUCAGAACUUUUUUCGUGACGAGGUUUUAUAAUUUUGAACGAAAAAGGUGAAAAUUGAGAAAGCAUAGUUGCUACUACGCUGACGAAAUUUGAACCUUUUGCAGUCAAAAUUUUAAAGCCGCAGUAGAAAUAAAGUUCUGAGGUGGGCCUCCGCUAAUCCGGCUAAACUUGUAGAGCAAUUUUAAAUCAUUUUCCAGACGGGAGUUCAAUUCUCCCCAUCUCCACUC
rnacentral:tmRNA from 1 species